CCUGUACUCUCUAGACCGCUCACCCGCCUGAUCUCUAUGGUCUCCGUCUGCGCAUGUGCGGCGUAGGCCCCACCUCUUCUUUUCCUCCCGCGCGGGCCACGUGAGGAGAGUCUGGAGCCUUCAGGUUGUCCCCGGUGCGCAAGCAGCAGGACGAGGCCCAGGACUUUUCGGGUCUGUACGUUUGCUGAGAGUGGUGUUCUUGUGGCGGGGGCGGAAGGUGGACGUCUUAGGAAGCCUUGCGACCCAGUAGAGACCCCCACAGGGACUCCGCAGUGCCUGGGGAUGGCCUGGACCUCGCCCGGGAAAGCUGACACUUCACAGGCCUCUCUAAUGUCCGAAGUGCUCCAGAAAAUGAAUCUAUUUGAGGAUGCAGUUUUACAAAACCAGAGGUAGUCGUCAAGUUGGAGCAAUGAAAGGGUCCAUUGUUGUUAGAGGAAGAAUUUCCAAGCAGGAGCCAUGCAGGGUGAUAGUCCAGGUUGCUGAUGCCACCACCAUAAUUCAUCACCAGAGAUGGAGAAACUCUGUACCAUGAUGCCAGCUGGGCAAGGAAGAUCACUUUGCUGAGUGCUGGCAGGACUGAUUCAAUAGUUAUGCGGGCUCUGGGCUCCCGUGGCUGCCUUUAGCAUCUGGAUGCUGUAACUUGGAAGUUUGGGUGAGUUAACACCAGUGAGAGAAAGAAAAUAGUAAGGAGUCAGCAGAUGGGUUCUUCUUCCAUACCGUCUCCAUAGUGGUACAAUUGGCAUCUCUAAAAUUAUCCUGUGUGAUUGAGCAGUUGGCUGAACUUGCUGCCAAGUGUUGGUAUGAUGAGUAAUACUUCCCUUCCUAUUUGCUCUCUCUCCUGCCCUGCUUUAUCUUCUCCCUGUCUCCUGCCUCCCUAAGCCUGCACUCCCUACUCCCUGCCAUGCUAACAUGUAGCUGAUUUUCAGGAAACUAGACAUAUGGCAGUUUACAAAGGUAGAUCUUUAGAACAUUCAACAGCGUAAAAAUAAAAAGUAAAAGCAUAUCA
rnacentral:lncRNA from 1 species